GGAAGGAUCAUUACAGAAUUGUCAACGGGUUGUUGCUGGUCCUCGAACGGGGACAUGUGCACGCUCUGUUUACACAUCCACUCACACCUGUGCACCCUCCGUAGUUCUGUGGUCUGGGGGACCCCUGUCUUCCUGCCGUGGUUCUAUGUCUUUACACACACACUGUAAUAAAGUAUUAUGGAAUGCAUGCCGCGUUUAACGCAAUACAAUACAACUUUCAGCAACGGAUCUCUUGGCUCUCGCAUCGAUGAAGAACGCAGCGAAAUGCGAUAAGUAAUGUGAAUUGCAGAAUUCAGUGAAUCAUCGAAUCUUUGAACGCACCUUGCGCCCCUUGGCUAUUCCGAGGGGCAUGCCUGUUUGAGUAUCAUGAACACCUCAACUCUCACGGUUCGCCGUGAUGAGCUUGGACUCUGGGGGUUUUGCUGGCCUGCGGUCGGCUCCCCUCAAAUGAAUCAGCCUCCCAGUGUUUGGUGGCAUCACGGGUGUGAUAAAUAUCUACGCUCGCAGUUGUCCGCCAGGUAACCUUUGGUGACAAAGGUUCGCUGGAGCUCACAGAUGUCUCUCCUCAGCGAGGACAGCUUUUUGAACGUUCGAUCUCAAAUCAGGUAGGACUACCCGCUGAACUUAAGCAUAUCAAUAAGCGGAGGAA
rnacentral:sRNA from 1 species